rnacentral:rRNA from 1 species
GAUGAACGCUAGCUACAGGCUUAACACAUGCAAGUCGAGGGGAAACGAUAGAGAAAGCUUGCUUUUUCUAGGCGUCGACCGGCGCACGGGUGAGUAACGCGUAUCCAACCUGCCCACCACUUGGUGAUAACCUUGCGAAAGUAAGACUAAUACCCAAUGAUAUCUCAAGAAGACAUCUGAAUGAGAUUAAAGAUUUAUCGGUGAUGGAUGGGGAUGCGUCUGAUUAGCUUGUUGGCGGGGUAACGGCCAACCAAGGCGACGAUCAGUAGGGGUUCUGAGAGGAAGGUCCCCCACAUUGGAACUGAGACACGGUCCAAACUACUACGGGAGGCAGCAGUGAGGAAUAUUGGUCAAUGGGCGAGAGCCUGAACCAGCCAAGUAGCGUUCAGGAUGACGGCCCUAUGGGUUGUAAACUGCUUUUAUAAGGGAAUAAAGUGAGUCUCGUGAGGCUUUUUGCAUGUACCUUAUGAAUAAGGACCGGCUAAUUCCGUGCCAGCAGCCGCGGUAA